GUCCACGCCCUAAACGAUGUCGACUAGGUGUUGGGGAAGGAGACUUCCUUAGUACCGCAGCUAACGCGUGAAGUCGACCGCCUGGGGAGUACGGUCGCAAGAUUAAAAACUCAAAGGAAUUGACGGGGACCCGCACAAGCGGUGGAUGAUGUGGAUUAAUUCGAUGCAACGCGAAAAACCUUACCUACCCUUGACAUGCCAGGAAGUCUGCUGAGAGGUGGAUGUGCCCGAAAGGGAACCUGGACACAGGUGCUGCAUGGCUGUCGU
rnacentral:rRNA from 1 species